AGGCGUGUAACAUUUAUUGGUUACAACAUG
rnacentral:snRNA from 1 species